CGGGGAAUAUUGCACAAUGGGCGAAAGCCUGAUGCAGCAACGCCGCGUGAGUGAUGACGGCCUUCGGGUUGUAAAGCUCUGUCUUUGGGGACGAUAAUGACGGUACCCAAGGAGGAAGCCACGGCUAACUACGUGCCAGCAGCCGCGGUAAUACGUAGGUGGCAAGCGUUGUCCGGAUUUACUGGGCGUAAAGGGUGCGUAGGCGGACCUUUAAGUGAGAUGUGAAAUCCCCGAGCUUAACUUGGGGGCUGCAUUUCAAACUGGAGGUCUAGAGUGCAGGAGAGGAGAGUGGAAUUCCUAGUGUAGCGGUGAAAUGCGUAGAGAUUAGGAAGAACACCAGUGGCGAAGGCGACUCUCUGGACUGUAACUGACGCUGAGGCACGAAAGCGUGGGGAGCAAACAG
rnacentral:rRNA from 1 species